rfam:Rhinocladiella mackenziei CBS 650.93 unplaced genomic scaffold supercont1.5, whole genome shotgun sequence.
GGUGGGGUGGCCUAAUGGUAAGGCGUUGCUUUCCGGUGAAUACAGCCUGGCAAAGACUGUGGGUUCGAGUCCCAUCCUCAUCG